UACGGAGGGUGCGAGCGUUAAUCGGAAUUACUGGGCGUAAAGGGCACGCAGGCGGACUGAUAAGUUAGAUGUGAAAUGCCUCGGCUUAACCGAGGACGUGCAUUUAAAACUGUCAGACUAGAGAUCGAUAGAGGGUAGUGGAAUUACGAGUGUAGAGGUGAAAUUCGUAGAUAUUCGUAGGAACAUCAAUGGCGAAGGCAGCUACCUGGGUCGAAACUGACGCUGAGGUGCGAAAGUGUGGGGAGCAAACAGG
rnacentral:rRNA from 1 species